GAACAUAUUUCCGUUUGGUGGAAGUGUUGCUCUAUCUCAUAUGCUCUAUCUCUCUCUCUGCUAUCUGCGAUGCCAAACGGUGGAAGUGCUUGAGCUUGAGAUCCAAGAGAUUAGAACGUAUUUCCGUUUGGGAUCCUCAGUCAAAUUACUUGAAGUUGCUAUUUGGUGUGGAGAUUAAAUCAUUGAUGGACAUGUUACUGAUUUUGCAAUUCAUAUAUUGUAAUUUUGUAUAUUGUAAUGUAAUGUAUAAAUAUCAAAUAAUGUAAUAUGUAAUGGAUUGUAUCGUGAUGCAUGCAUGGAUGAAUUUAUGCAUUUAG